CAUGUUGUCCAGCUGGUGUUGAACUCCUGAGUUCAAGUGAUCCUCUUGCUUUGGCUUCCCAAAGUGCUGGAAUUACAGGUAUGAGCCACCGCAUCUGGCCCAGUCUGGCUUUUAAAUGGAGAUGACAAUGAGCCCAGGGGAGUAUUGGUAAGGCCUGAGCACUGAGCUGCCUCCUUCCCGGCAGGCCUGGUUUUGUAAAUAUCAGUCUGGCAGCAGGUCCCUUUCCCCCAGGGAGCUUCACAAAUCAUACAGUGACCAGAGCUCGUGAAACAGAAGGCCGGGUGGGACACACUGCAGCAGGAAGUGGCUCACCACCAUUCUGAGUCCCACAUCCCAAGAGGCUGUUUAAAUCAAAACACAGCCUACGCAGGAGGAGCAGAGGCACAGAGAGACACCCAGAGAAGACAGCCAUGCAACAGCAGAGGGGAGACUGGAGCCAAGGACCCCUGGGAUUGCCGGUCACACCAGAGCUGGGCCAAGUGUGGGUCGAUCCUCUCUGCAGACUUCAGAGGGGGGGAGGCCCUGACAUCCUCCUCUAGGACUUCCAGCGUCCAGAGCUGAGAGAGAAGGAAUGUCCACUGUUAAAGGUGCCCAGUCUGGUGGUCACAGGAGACUCAUACAGCGCUUGGAAGAGGGGUCAGUGGACAGCCAGAAGGGCAGCAAGGCCAGCAGCUCCAGAGCUGCCACCUCCACUGUGGCGUCACUUUGCUUAUUUUGGUGCCUGUGUGUCUUCACUUGUCUGCCCUUAGGGAGGCGAAGCGCAAAGACCAGGGGUGGGGGAAGGCGAGUGAGGAUGCUGCAGCCCACCCCCAUUUUCCUUCCAGCCACUCCCCAGCCCCAGCCCCCACCUAAAAAUACCUCCUGGGGCUGCCUUGGUGUUCCGAGAAUGUCCGUGCCCAUGUGGUAUGGUCAAGUCAUGUGGCCACAGGAGGUGAUGAGGAAGUUUAGUGCACUCAGGGCCAUGGUGGGCGGUGCCAGGGCGGUCAGGAGGCAGCAGACAAGAGCAAGGGAGUGGCUGGGCAGGACUGGGGUUUCCGUGAAAAAGGAAGGGCAGGGAGGUGAAUGCUUUAGGACUGGCCAGCUGGAAUCAUCUCAGCAGGUUUGGCUGUGGGUGGGGGUGGUCCCUAGUCACCCAGGACCUGGCCCUGGGAUGGUCAGGGCAGGGGAAUAUUGCCCAGGGUGGGGGGGCUUUAGGGCUGGAGAGAGGAGGUCUGCUGGCUAGUUUGCAUAUGAAAAGGCAUGCUCUCAGAGCCCUUGCUUUAUCGCUUUAUCAGAAUUGGCCAGCCCCUGGAGGGACAGGCUCUCCCCAGCCAGAAAGCUUUUCUAAGACAUCAAAACACAGUACACAGAAAAUUUAGAAAAUAUAUACAAUACACACAGGUAUUACUGUCAUGGAGACCUGCAGUGAGCAGGGCUGCAGAGCCAGAGCUCACGGCCACCUGUGCCCCCGGAGUCCCUGGCAUCUCAGGUACCUUUGACCAGCACAACGUGGGCUGUGGAGCUGCAGAGCUCUGCCUCUCAGUGGGGCGGGUGUGCAGGCCGGUUCUGAGGGCAGCGCAGGGGCUGCGGCAGGAGCCUGGUGUGUGAUGAUGGGGGGCUUCAGUUUCAUCUGCAGAGCUCUGCUUGCAGGUGCCCACAGUGCAGAGACCGCAGGGGUCCCCGCGCCGCCGGGUGCCCGAGGACGUGAGACCGCGCACCAUCUGCCUGCUGCCCGCUGCCAUGUCCAUGUGCUUGGAGCAGGGAAGAGCUCAAGCCAGUGACCUUGAAAGAGGCAACACAGCUGAGAAACGUGUCAGACAUCCUUCCGGGCUGGCAGCGCCGGCUGCACAUCUGUCUGGAGUGUGUGGAUGCCAGAAGUCACUGUCCAUGGGGUGACAGCGCAGCCUGGAGCUGAUGAGAGGCUGGGUGCACACUGCACGUCUCCAGCAGGUCCCCACAGCAGGCUCUGCUGCAGGCAUCGGGGCGGAACUGAGACUGGACAGACCUAGGCUGCCAGCAGAGGGAGGGUUGGGAGGCCUGUCCCAGGGAGGCACAGAGGGGGUGCAGCAGGGCCUCCCCCAGCCUCUCCCUCACCUGGCGCCCCGCCUUCCCUCCUUUCCUAGUGAUCGUCUUCCCUUCCCUUUCUUCUUCAGAAGGAGGAGCUGUGGGCAGAGGGACUUUGGAAAGCAUGGCGUUACUUACCUUUCUCACCUCUCAGGGCUUAUGCCAUCCUCCUACGAAUGAUGAAAGCCAUCAUCCCUGCCUCCACCCUGGAAGAGAGCAUUGAGUUAGAGAACAGGGAGCUUUCCCCUUAGCGUGGCCCCCAGGUCAGUUUUCCCAGACGGAGGUCCUCGGAAGAUUGGCUUCUCUCGGUGUUUCCAGCAGGCCAGGCAGAAAGUGAGGGGCAGCUCGUGUUGGAAAGAGUUCAGGACUCGCUGCCACCCGUGGCCUCUCCCGGAGGUGACAGCGUACGUGUGAGCACAGCGAAGGCUCCGAGCAGCCCCGGAGGAAGUGCACAUGUGUGGCUUUGUCUAACCAGACAUUUCCCCUGGAGUCCUUUCCCCCACAGAGGGUGGACUGACACCUCAGAGUCCUGUGUUCUGGAGACCCCGGGAAAUCCUCCCUGCGGCCCUGCAGGGAAACGGUCUUGGUGCAGAGCAGCAGUGCCUGUGCUUUUCGUGUCUGUGAGUCACUCACCGAGCAGUCUUUGCCCAGUGAAAGGUUUGAGGAGCUGUUAACUGGGCCAAGUCCUGGGGAAGUGAUGAAGUAGAGACAGUUUGUCUUCAGUGCUGGCCACCUCCCAUUUUUAGUCCCUUCUUUCCUGUCUCCAGAGAGGGCUUCCUCUCUGGUCUCCCACCUGCUCCGGCAUCGGUGUUUUGAUUCUGCCCAAACUUUCCUCUCUUUUAAAUUAUCCUUCAUGGCUAAGAUGGGAGUACUUGUUUAUACUAAUGUGUAAAUGACUAACCAGCUAACAUUGCUUAAAUUCUGUGUGGGCAGGAGGCUUUGCACAGACCUCUCACGUGUCCUGAGGUUUGCCUUUAAGCAGAAGACUGUCUCCUCUGACAGCGUUAACUCUGUGCACCUGCUACGCUUGAUGAGUAUUUAGGCUUGGUGAAUACCUACAUGCACCAGGUCAGUUCUGGGUGAAGAACAAACACCGUGAGCAGGACAGGCGGGGUCUGGAGGGGUCUGGAGCGGGAGGCAGAUGCACCAAGGCAGGGGGAAGUACCUAAAGACCGUUAGUGUCAGCACAGCAUCGCUUCAGGCUGAGCCAGCAAUGCCUGUCCAGGAAGUGGUAGACGGUGGAGUGUGGAGCAAGACAUGGAGAGAGAAGGAUGAAAGAUGCUCAGAUGGGGGCUCAGCAAACUUUCUCUACAAAGGCCAGAUGACAAAUAAAGGAACGGUGGCUGUGUGGGCCACUCAGGGCCUGCCUGAA